rnacentral:rRNA from 1 species
GACGAACGCUGGCGGCGUGCUUAACACAUGCAAGUCGAACGAUGAAGCCCAGCUUGCUGGGUGGAUUAGUGGCGAACGGGUGAGUAACACGUGGGCAACCUGCCCCAAACUCUGGGAUAACUCCUCGAAAGAGGUGCUAAUACCGGAUACGAACUAGACAGACAUCUGUACUAGUUGGAAAGUUUUUCGGUUUGGGAUGGGCCCGCGGCCUAUCAGCUUGUUGGUGAGGUAACGGCUCACCAAGGCUACGACGGGUAACCGGCCUGAGAGGGGGAACGGGCACACUGGGACCUGGACACGGCCCAGACUCCUACGGGAGGCAGCAGUGGGGAAUAUUGGGGAAGGGGCGAAAGCCUGACGCAGCGACGCCGCGUGAGGGAUGAAGGUCUUCGGAUCGUAAACCUCUUUCAGUAGGGACGAAGCGAAAGUGACGGUACCUAAAGAAGAAGCACCGGCUAACUACGUGCCAGCCGCCGCCGUAA